UUUGCAUUGGAAAGACUUGAGGAUUUUUAUAGACGCAUCAGAAGUUCAUCAUCAGAAAUCUAAACUCACAGUCACCAUGACCUUCAUCAGCAUCUUCAUCUGGAUGUUAACUUGUUUCUGUUUCAGAGAAUCAAGAGGUGAAGUGACCGUCAUUCAGACACCUGCAGUCAAAUCUGUUCAUAUAGGAGACACAGUUACUAUCAGCUGUAAAACUAAUCCUGAAGUCUAUACGGGCUGGGGUUAUCCAGCUUUAUCCUGGUACUUACAGAAACCUGGAGAAGCUCCUAAACUCCUGAUUAAAAAAGCAAAUGAGUUACAGUCUGGAACUUCAGAUCGAUUCAGUGGCAGUGGAUCAAAAACAGAUUUUACCCUGAGCAUCAAAAGAGUUCAGACUGAAGAUGCAGGAGUUUAUGUCUGUUCAGGUAGACACUAUAUCAACAGUAUACAUCUGUACACAUUCGGCACCGGCACGAGACUGGAAGUCGGCAGUGUAAGUCGUCCUAAAGUGAUCGUCCUGCCGCCGUCCAGUGAAGAGAUUUCCAGCAAGAAGACAGCAACACUGAUGUGUGUGGCCAGCAAUGGUUUCCCUUCAGACUGGAGUCUGAGCUGGAAAGUGAAUGGGAAGAUGUCAGGAUCUCAGGAGAACAGAGCUGGAGUCCUACAGAAAGACGGCGGUCUGUACAGCUGGAGCAGCAGUCUGACUCUCACUGAACAAGAAUGGAUCAACAGAGACUCAGUGAUCUGUGAGAUCAGUCGGGAAGGUCAGACAGUCACUGGAGAAGUGAAGAAAGAUCUGUGUUCUGAGUAGAUCCUCUCUUCUUCUCAUCUCUUCUUCUCAUUCAUGUCUCACAUCAACAGUGGACAACUAUUCAUACAACAGUCUGGGGCUCUGCUUUAUUCAUUCUCUAUGCUUUUCAAUAAAGAAAUAUUAAAUAUUG